UCGAUUAUAAACAAUACGGCUGCGGUUCUCUUUUACAAGAGAUGAGUCCAAUCUCUUCGGUUUACGUGACCCGAACGAAAAAAUUGCGAUUUAUGCGGAAUUGCUAAAGAGCACAGUUAGGAAUUAUCGUUGUUACCCUCGACCUCCGAUUGUUGCGACAUUGCGUGGGUCGGAAGUUUUGUGCUUUUCACACCGGUGCCACGCACGACUUUGGAUUUGUUCAACGAAGUGCACGUAAACCCGGGCGAAAGGGAGGAGAUUUGCGAUUUUGUAAACGCCAAUGAAGAGACGGAUAGGAAGGACAAGGACAAGGGAACAAGUCAGGAACGAAUUUCUCAAGAAUCACAAAUUCGACUCCUAGGAGAACACACCCAGCUCCGACGCCGAAACCAAAAAUGUGAAAAAAUGGCAAAAAGGCAAUAGUGGACUCGUUUUCAUUAAAAUCUAUCAAGUUUGGGUCUGCCAUGAAAGUCAUGGUGUAGCGUAGGUUGGCAUGGGUUAAUUGGACGCAUUUUGGAAAUCCGGUGGUGCCUGAAGAUGUCAAAAUUAAAGCAACGUCGUCCAGAUUUGCUUCAACAGGACAAAAAUUUUCACUGUCAUUUGCGUUCUCAAUAAGGUUAUUAAAAUUGACACCAUAGUCGGAAGUUGGGGCAUCAUAAAUAUAUAUUUUUGAGGGGAAAAAAUCUUCGUUUUUUAAUUCGAGAAGAGUUUGCAAAGACUUAUGGGUAGAAAAUACCACUUUUGGUUGACACGUCGACAUGAUAUGUUUUAGUUCUCCUGAAAAGUUAAUUAAAAGAGAAAUUUUUUAUUUGGAUCUACCUGAAGUGUAGUCAUGAUUUAGGAGAUUUACUUUUGCUCCAACAUAAAAUCCAGCGAUUAGUGUCAGUAAGUAUUUCCAAUGAUUUUGUGAUAUUAUAGUUAACACGUCUCCCUGUUUUAUUCCGAUGUUUUGAAGCUCUUGAGCCAGUUUUAUUGAGAGUUUGGAAAAGGUUCCAUAAUUCACAACUUCGCCAGUUGCAGUGUCGGUCUAAUUUUUUUGGUAUGAGUAACAUACUAUAAGUUGUAGGAAAAAAAUAAAUACCAAUAGUGUUUUCCCCGAAUUCCACUUUUUCAGUCUGUCAUGAAAAAUUACACCAAUGGCUUUGGAAGGUAGAUUUAUUACAUCAGAGGGUCCAACUUGAAUUAGCCCAGACAUGAUUUCAAAAUAGCCACCACACAACUAAAUUUGAUUUGAAUUCUUUACUCUUUUUUAAUUAAAAUUUUUAAUAUAUGAUUUCAAACAA